rnacentral:misc_RNA from 1 species
AAGGCUCGCCGAAUACAAAAUAUUACAAGUGUAUUGGCGGGGCACAAACAGCAGGGGAGAGGGUGUCUCGAUUCUAUAAGAGAAUCAUUAGCUCAAUGCUUACACGAAUAACGUCCACAAAUUUCAGGCGAGCCUGAAGCCUGAAUUUGUUGACGUUUACUCCCAGAUCAUUAGCUCAAUGCUUACACGAAUAACGUCCACAAAUUUCAGGCGAGCCUGAAGCCUGAAUUUGUUGACGUUAUCCGUGCCGCCGAGGAGGCCUACAAGAGCAAGGCCAAGCUCUGAACGACUCCGGAGCGUCGGGACGCCAAAACCGACAGUUUCGACGGUUCCUCGCCUCGUACAUGAAUCCGAAGGAUGCCAAAAUGAUCAAGUGUAUCUAGACGACGGUAUCGACGGUGCUGGGCUGCCCACGAACAGAGAGGAGCGCUACAAAGGCAGAG